CCAAUAGCGUAUAUUAAAGUUGUUGCAGUUAAAAAGCUCGUAGUUGAAUUUCGGGGUUAGUAGGUUGGUCAUGCCUCCGGUAUGCACUGGUCUCACUGAUUCCUCCUUCCUGAUGAGCCGUAAUGCCAUUAAUUUGGUGUUGCGGGGAAUCUGGACUGUUACUUUGAAAAAAUUAGAGUGUUUAAAGCAAGCUAACGCUUGAAUACAUUAGCAUGGAAUAAUGGAAUAGGACGUUCGAUCCUAUUUUGUUGGUUUCUAGGAUUGACGUAAUGAUUAAUAGGGAUAGUUGGGGGCAUUAGUAUUCAAUUGUCAGAGGUGAAAUUCUUGGAUUUAUUGAAGACUAACUACUGCGAAAGCAUUUGCCAAGGAUGUUUUCAUUAAUCAAGAACGAAAGUUAGGGGAUCGAAGACGAUCAGAUACCGUCGUAGUCUUAACCAUAAACUAUGCCGACUAGGGAUCGGAUGAUGUUAAUUUUUUAAUGACUCGUUCGGCGCCUUACG
rnacentral:rRNA from 1 species